ACAACUUGUCUAUGAUACAAAUGUUUCUUUACUAGCUACUAACAGUUAUUAUUUUAAUCUUAACAUCUAAUCUUAAAUCGUACUAACAGUAACAGUGACACAUCACAAAAUAAUAUGUAUAAUAUUAUGUACAAUUUAUCUAAUAAUUCCGUUAUUACUUAGCCUACAUUACACCACAACACAACUUAUACAAGUCUCUAAAAGAAUGGACGAAUAAUCAUCUACCUUUAGUAUAAUUUAAUAUCUUUUAGGUCUUCUUCUCAGUUUAUUAGAUUUGCUUAAAUCAUGAUGAUAUGACACUGCAGUGGAAAUCUUCAAUUAUUGUAAUAUUCGUUGUAAUUACAAAUGUAAAAGAAACU